rnacentral:rRNA from 1 species
UACCAGCACCCCGAGUGGUCGGGACGAUUAUUGGGCCUAAAGCAUCCGUAGCCGGUUUUACAAGUCCUCCGUUGAAUCCAGCUGCUUAACAGAUGGGCUGCGGAGGAUACUAUAAGACUAGGAGGCAGGAGAGGCAAGCGGUACUCAGUGGGUAGGGGUAAAAUCCGUUGAUCCAUUGAAGACCACCAGUGGCGAAGGCGGCUUGCCAGAAUGCGCUCGAUGGUGAGGGAUGAAAGCUGGGGGAGCAAACCGG